rnacentral:snRNA from 1 species
GUGCUUGCUUUGGCAGCACAUGUAGUAAAAGGCAAUAUAGAGAAGAUUAAUAUGACCCCUGCUCAAGAAUGACAUGCAAAUUUAUGAAGAAUUUCAUAUUUUA